UUUAUAAUGAAUAACUAACAGGGGAGCUCCAUUAAGUACACUUCUUUUAAAGUGGAUUUACAUAAACCAUAUAUACAUCUUGAAGACUAUUACUAAUUGUCUAUUUAUCAUCUGACAGGAUAGUCUUUGAUGAGUAUUGCAGAUAAGCACAUUUAACAGACAUGAAACAGGCAUCUGAGUGAUGUGUGUGUGCUAUUAUGUAGAAUUCACUGUCAACACUGCUUUAGAUGAGUGUAAGUCAUGUAAACAAACAAAUCUACAUACAGUAACUAAACACUAGUUAUCUAUUUUAUUUGUCCAUUUGCAAUAUUGAUAAUUUUAGGAACAUUUGUGUUGGAUAAAAAGCGAGUUACAUCAGUUACUACCUCAACAUGCAGAUGCAGUAUAUCACAGAUAAAUCACAGAGGUUACUUGACUCUUGUCUGGAUGUUACAGGAACAGAUUAUGUUUGUCUGCUGUAGAGUGACUGAUGAAGGAAUGCUGCCAUCAAAGGAUUUGUAUCUUUUGUGGUGGAGCAGGACCUGCAAGUAAAGGUGAAAAAAAAGGAAAAACCUGAAACAAAAGAAUAAAGUAGUGGUGCUCAUGGAGAGCAGCACACGAUUGUUUGGAGCAGACACAGCAGCAUUCAGAUUGUCCUGCAUGUGUUCUUCUGCUCUCGCUUCAAGGUAGUGUGGUUCAGAGAGCCGUCAUCAAGGUCUUCCUCAUCCUGUUGCUCAACGACAUCCCCGUUGAGAAGAGUGAGAUUGUGAAGCACAGCGCAGCAGCAGAACUGUCUCAGCUGUGUUGAGAUGAUAGUAAGAUGUUGGGUUCACCGUCUGUAAAUACAUGAUUGUUAGAACAGUUAGUUUGAAAGAAGCUUUGUUUCAUGUGUUGUUGACUUGUACAUGUCUGUAUUUAUUGUGAUGCUAACAUUUAUACAUUCUUUUAAUCA